rnacentral:rRNA from 1 species
GGAUUGCCCUAGUAACGGCGAGUGAAGCGGCAACAGCUCAAAUUUGAAAUCUGGCGUCUUUGGCGUCCGAGUUGUAAUUUGCAGAGGGCGCUUUGGCAUUGGCAGCGGUCCAAGUUCCUUGGAACAGGACGUCACAGAGGGUGAGAAUCCCGUACGUGGUCGCUAGCCUUUACCGUGUAAAGCCCCUUCGACGAGUCGAGUUGUUUGGGAAUGCAGCUCUAAAUGGGAGGUAAAUUUCUUCUAAAGCUAAAUACUGGCCAGAGACCGAUAGCGCACAAGUAGAGUGAUCGAAAGAUGAAAAGCACUUUGGAAAGAGAGUUAAAAAGCACGUGAAAUUGUUGAAAGGGAAGCGCUUGCAGCCAGACUUGCCUGUAGUUGCUCAUCCGGGUUUUUACCCGGUGCACUCUUCUAUAGGCAGGCCAGCAUCAGUUUGGGCGGUUGGAUAAAGGUCUCUGUCAUGUACCUCUCUUCGGGGAGAACUUAUAGGGGAGACGACAUGCAACCAGCCUGGACUGAGGUCCGCGCAUCUGCUAGGAUGCUGGCGUAAUGGCUGUAAGCGGCCCGUCUUGAAACACGGACCAAGGAGUCUAACAUCUAUGCGAGUGUUUGGGUGUCAAGCCCGAGCGCGUAAUGAAAGUGAACGGAGGUGGGAACCUUUCGGGGUGCACCAUCGACCGAUCCUGAUGUCUUCGGAUGGAUUUGAGUAAGAGCAUAGCUGUUGGGACCCGAAAGAUGGUGAACUAUGCUUGAAUAGGGUGAAGCCAGAGGAAACUCUGGUGGAGGCUCGCAGCGGUUCUGACGUGCAAAUCGAUCGUCAAAUUUGGGCAUAGGGGCGAAAGACUAAUCGAACUAUCUAGUAGCUGGUUCCUGCCGAAGUUUCCCUCAGGAUAGCAGUAACGUUUUCAGUUUUAUGAGGUAAAGCGAAUGAUUAGAGGCCUGGGGGUUGAAACAACCUU